UCUAGUAGCUGGUUCCCUCCGAAGUUUCCCUCAGGAUAGCUGGUGCAUUUAAAAAUUAUAUAAAAUAAUCUUAUCUGGUAAAGCGAAUGAUUAGAGGCCUUAGGGUCGAAACGAUUUUAACCUAUUCUCAAACUUUAAAUGGGUAAGAACCUCACCUUUCUUGAUAUGAAGGUUGAGGUUAUGAUAUAAUGUGCCCAGUGGGCCACUUUUGGUAAGCAGAACUGGCGCUGUGGGAUGAACCAAACGUAAUGUUACGGUGCCUAAAUUAACAACUCAUGCAGAUACCAUGAAAGGCGUUGGUUGCUUAAAACAGCAGGACGGUGGACAUGGAAGUCGUAAUCCGCUAAGGAGUGUGUAACAACUCACCUGCCGAAGCAACUAGCCCUUAAAAUGGAUGGCGCUUAAGUUGUAUACCUAUACAUUACCGCUAAAGUAGAUGAUUUAUAAUACAAUUUCGAUUGAUUUAUAAAUUUUGAAACUUUAGUGAGUAGGAGGGUACAAUGGUGUGCUUAGAAGUGUUUGGCGUAAGCCUGCAUGGAGCCGCUAUUGGUACAGAUCUUGGUGGUAGUAGCAAAUAAUCGAAUGAGACCUUGGAGGACUGAAGUGGAGAAGGGUUUCGUGUGAACAGUGGUUGAUCACGAGUUAGUCGGUCCUAAGUUCAAGGCGAAAGCCGAAAAUUUUCAAGUUUUAAAUAAAUAUUAAUAAAAUUUAUAUAUUAAAAUAGAAAUAAUUAAAUACUUGAAUUAUUUUGAACGAAAGGGAAUACGGUUCCAAUUCCGUAACCUGUUGAGUAUCCGUUUGUUAUUAAAAAUGGGCCUUGUGCUCAUCCUGGCAACAGGAACGACCAUAAAGAAGCCGUCGAGAGAUAUCGGAAGAGUUUUCUUUUCUGUUUUAUAGUCGUACUACCAUGGAAGUCUUUCGAAGAGAGAUAUGGUAGAUGGACUAGAAGAGCAUGACAUUUACUGUUGUGUCGAUAUUUUCUCCUCGGACCUUGAAAAUUUAUGGUGGGGUCACGCAAACUUCUCAACAGGCCGUACCAAUAU
rnacentral:rRNA from 1 species